GAUGAACGCUGGCGGCGUGCCUAAUACAUGCAAGUCGAGCGAAAAGACGAGGAGAUUGCUCUUCUGACGUUAGCGGCGGACGGGUGAGUAACACGCGGAUAACCUACCUAUAAGACAGGGAUAAAUUCGGGAAACCGGAGCUAAUACCGGCUAAUAUACUGAACCGCAUGGUUCAAAAGUACAAGACGGUUUUGCUGUCAUUUAUAGAUGGAUCCGCGCCGCUUUAGCUAGUUGGUAAGGUAAGGGCUUACCAAGGCAACGAUGCGUAGCCGACCUGAGAGGGGGAGCCGCCACACUAGAACUGAGCCACGGUCCAGACCACUACGGGAGGCAGCGGUAGGGAAUCUUCUGCUAUUCGCGAAACGCUAGCGGGGCAACGCCGCGUGGCGUAUAAAGUGCUUCGGAUCUUAGUACUCUGUUAUUAGGGAAGGACGAUUAUGUAAGUAACUUGUCACGUCUUGACGGUACCUAAUCAAUAAGCCACGGCUAAUUACGUG
rnacentral:rRNA from 1 species